rnacentral:lncRNA from 1 species
UCCAUUCUGUUGUUGACGUUACUAGCUAUCAUGAAGAUGCCUAGAUUCGUACUUACUAGCAGUUACCAGUUGACGGCCAAUUGCUUCUCACAACCACGCAGGACUGGCUAUUUUGUGACCGUUUGGCCCCCUGAAAUGAAGCCAGAUUCAGGUGCUAUGAAUAAGACAUUUCCAAGAUCAACCUACGCCAAAGCAUGCAUUUGAAAAUC